rnacentral:tRNA from 1 species
UGUGACAGAAUAGUGUGAUAAAUUUAAGAUUUAUUUAUAAAGUUAGCCUUUCUUUAGAA